UGUAUGUUUGUGUGUGUGUGUGUGUGUGUGUGUGUGUGUAUACACACACACACACAUAUACACACAUAUACAUACA